rnacentral:rRNA from 1 species
UGAGGAAUAUUGGUCAAUGGACGAGAGUCUGAACCAGCCAAGUAGCGUGCAGGAUGACGGCCCUAUGGGUUGUAAACUGCUUUUGUUUGGGAAUAAUCGACAUUACGUGUAAUGUUUUGCAUGUACCAUUCGAAUAAGGACCGGCUAAUUCCGUGCCAGCAGCCGCGGUAAUACGGAAGGUCCAGGCGUUAUCCGGAUUUAUUGGGUUGAAAGGGAGUGUAGGCGGUUGGUUAAGCGUGUUGUGAAAUGUAGAUGCUCAACAUCUGACUUGCAGCGCGAACUGGCUGACUUGAGUACACACAACGUAGGCGGAAUUCAUGGUGUAGCGGUGAAAUGCUUAGAUAUCAUGAAGAACUCCGAUUGCGAAGGCAGCUUACGGGAGUGUUACUGACGCUUAAGCUCGAAGGUGCGGGUAUCGAACAGG